rnacentral:tRNA from 1 species
UGGGGCGUAGCCAAGCGGUUAAGGCACCGGGUUUUGAUCUCGGCAUGCGUAGGUUCGAAUCCUACCGCCCCAG